rnacentral:rRNA from 1 species
GUGAGGAAUAUUGGACAAUGGGCGCAAGCCUGAUCCAGCCAUGCCGCGUGCAGGAAGACGCAUCUAUGGUGUGUAAACUGCUUUUGUACGGGAAGAAACACUCCCUCGUGAGGGAGCUUGACGGUACCGUAAGAAUAAGGAUCGGCUAACUCCGUGCCAGCAGCCGCGGUAAUACGGAGGAUCCAAGCGUUAUCCGGAAUCAUUGGGUUUAAAGGGUCCGUAGGCGGUUUAAUAAGUCAGUGGUGAAAGCCCAUCGCUCAACGAUGGAACGGCCAUUGAUACUGUUAGACUUGAAUUACAAGGAAGUAACUAGAAUAUGUAGUGUAGCGGUGAAAUGCUUAGAUAUACGGAGGAACACCAGUGGCGAAGGCGGAUUACUGGACGAUAACUGACGCUGAGGCGCGAAAGCGUGGGGAGCAAACAGGAUUAGAUACCCGGGUAGUCC